rnacentral:rRNA from 1 species
GCAGUAGGGAAUAUUGGGCAAUGGGCGAGAGCCUGACCCAGCCAUGCCGCGUGCAGGAAGAAGGCUUUCUGAGUCGUAAACUGCUUUUGACAGGGAAGAAUAAGCACUACGUGUAGUGCGAUGACGGUACCUGCAGAAUAAGCACCGGCUAACUCCGUGCCAGCAGCCGCGGUAAUACGGAGGGUGCGAGCGUUGUCCGGAUUUAUUGGGUUUAAAGGGUGCGUAGGCGGCCGUUUAAGUCUGGGGUGAAAGCCCGCUGCUCAACAGCGGAACUGCCCUGGAUACUGGAUGGCUUGAGUACAGACGAGGUUGGCGGAAUGGACAGAGUAGCGGUGAAAUGCAUAGAUACUGUCCAGAACCCCGAUUGCGAAGGCAGCUGACUAGGCUGUUACUGACGCUGAGGCACGAAAGCGUGGGGAGCGAACAGGAUUAGA